rnacentral:rRNA from 1 species
CCCUGUUGAGCUUGACUCUAGUCUGGCACUGUAAGGAGACAUAAGAGGUGUAGCAUAAGUGGGAGAUUUUGAGCAAUCUUAAUCAACAAUGAAAUACCACUACUCUUAUUGUUUCCUUACUUACUUGAUGAGGUGGACGUGUAUUAUAUUACUUAGCCAUUAUAUGGGUGUAUAUGCUUCGGUAUAUAUGCUUUAUGGUAUUUUGUUUUGAUGCGAGUUUCUAGUUCCAAAAUAUCAUGAGUUAAGCUAUUCAUCCCAAACAAAUUUCGUUAAUAUGUAUUGUUGGCAUUGGUUGGUACUCUGUAUCGUAUCGGUGUCGGCGUGCAUAGGAAUUUGGUUUAGCUUAUAUGACU